rnacentral:ncRNA from 1 species
CUGUCAAACAUUAUUCGUUAAGAAAAUGAACACGUGUUUCAUUUCCUUUUUAUGCUAAUCCAGCCACUCCGUCGUCCGAAUUGUAGUCUGGAGCGUCCUUCGCGGCGGACCGGGUCCAAGCCCUGUGGAAGGGGGUGCUAGAAAGGAUGAGAGCCCCAUUGUGCCAGGAUCUUGCCGCUCCACGAGGCAUUAUCUACGAGUCGGGUUGUUUAGGAAUAUAGCAUAAAUCGGUGAAUUUUGUCCAAGGCUAAAUAGGGAGGAGAGAUUGAUAGCAAACAAAUACCGCGAGAAAAGGAUGAAAGGACUUUGAAAAAAGAGUCAAAGACCAACACUUCACCUCGUAUAUUUUCCAACAUAUAUUUUAUUAGAAAUGUUACUCCUAAUCUAUUGCACUUUCUAUGUACUUUCUAACUGUUUAAACUUAUCAUUAAGCAAAAAUAAAAAUUAAUGUCCAAAUUUGGUUAGAAAGUUUGAACUUUAUACUUUGAAUCCCUCGGUUCUUUUUUUAAAACAUAG